UACGAGAGGUCCAAACGUUAUUCGGAAUCACUGGGCUUACAGAGUUCGUAGGCGGUACGGCAAGUGGGGUGUGAAAGCCCUCGGCUCAACCGAGGAACUGCGCUCCAAACUACCGUGCUAGAGGAAGAUAGAGGUGAGCAGAACUGAUGGUGGAGCGGUGAAAUGCGUUGAUAUCAUCAGGAAUACCGGAGGCGAAGGCGGCUCACUGGGUCUUUUCUGACGCUGAGGAACGAAAGCUAGGGGAGCAAACGGG
rnacentral:rRNA from 1 species